rnacentral:rRNA from 1 species
AUGUCGAGUGCCGCCACCACCGGUUCCACUGCUGCGGGCUUCCUCCCGGCCUCUCUUGCGGCUCUGCUCAACCUCCCGCUCGAUGCCGUCUCUGUUCCGGCUCCGAUCGGGACAAGGAGCAUCGGCUCCGUCUUCUCCACGCCGCCGGCGCCCUCGCUUGGGCGUGACCUCGUGGUCCACACCGCGGCGCCGCCGUUCGCUGCGGACUCCGCAGGCGUUGUCCCGCUGCUCCUGCCGCAAGCGGAUCACACUGCCCCGCUGGCGGGGUUGGCGGCGUCCACCCCGGCCGCGGGCCUUGCGGCGUCCGCCCUGGCUGCGGUCCCGCCUCCUCCCGCAUCGGCUUCGGUGCCUCCAGCUGCCUCCAUGGUGUUUGCACCCCAGGCAGCCUCCUCGAUGGGAUUGUCUUCGCCGCCGCCGUUUCACUUCGGUCAUCUCAUCACCAUCAAGCUCUCCGCCGACAACUACAUCUUCUGGCGUGCGCAGGUUCUCCCGCUCUUGGGGAGUCACUACCUGCUAGGCUACGUCGACGGAUCGCUUCCCUGCCCACCCGCGCUGGUAGACAGCGUGCACGGUCCGGUCUACAAUCCGGCCCAUCGCGUCUGGACGGGGCAGGACCAGGCGAACCUCUCCUCCAUCCAGGGGUCGCUCUCGCCGGCAGUUGCCGGCCUUGUUGUCUUCGCGAAGACGUCUCAUGAGGCCUGGACCAUCCUUGAGCGCACCUUUGCAGCGCAGUCCCAGGCUCGUGUCUCUGCACUCCGCCGUCAGCUUGGAGAGUGUCAGAAGCUUGACUCCACUGCCACUGAGUUCUACAACAAGGUCAAGGGCCUCGCCGACACAUUGGCCUCCAUUGGACAGCCCCUCACCGACUCCGAGUUCAACUCGUUUAUUGUCAAUGGUCUUGAUGAGGAGUAUGAUGCCUUAGUCGAGAUCAUCAACGAGUGGGGCAACUCGACACCCAUGCUGGCACACGAGGUUUUCUCUCGGCUCCUUCUCACUGAGCAACGGGUCGAGACUCGCCGCACCAGGGGCACUGGCUCCCUCUCGGCCAACGCCGCCACCAAGGGUGGCCGCUCUUCUUCAUCACCCCGGUCUCCCUUGGGGCUGCCACCGUCGCCCGCCUCGGCCCCCCCACCUACUGCAACCUUACCGGGGGCUGGCGGUCCACGUGUGUGUCAGCUUUGUGGCCGCGAUGGGCACUGGGCCUCCAAGUGUCAUAAGCGCUUCCAGCGAAGCUUCCUUGGUCUUGGCAAUGACGGCAAACAUACACGCAACAAUGCCCGUCAGGUCGCCAUGGCUGAUCGUCCCGCGCCGCAGAAGCAACAGGGACACACUCAGUCCUACUCCAUCGACCCACACUGGUACAUGGACUCUGGGGCGACAGAGCAUCUAACCAGCGAGAUGGGGAAGCUUCACACUCGUGAACCCUAUCAUGGCUCCGACAAGAUCCACACCGCCGAUGGAGCAGGUAUGCACAUCUCUCAUAUUGGUCAAGCAUCUCUUCUCACUAGACAUGCCAAUAGGAGUCUUCAGCUUCGCAAUGUUCUUCGAGUUCCAUCUGUGACCCGUAAUCUUCUUUCAGUUCCUAAACUCACACGUGAUAAUAAUGUGCUUUGUGAAUUUCACCCUUUUGAUCUUUUUGUUAAGGAUCGGGGCACGAGGGACAUUCUUCUUAGUGGGCGGUUGUGCCAGGGCCUCUACCGUCUGGAGCAUCCUGGUGUCGCUCGUGUUUUCAGUGGAGUUCGGGUCUCUCCGUCACAGUGGCAUGCUCGUCUUGGUCACCCGGCCACACCUAUUGUCCGUCAUAUUUUGCGUCGUCAUGAGCUUCCUAGUUUGUCUAGUCAUAAAGAUGUAGCAGUGUGUGAUGCUUGUCAGCAGGGGAAGAGUCAUCAACUUCCUUUUUCGGAGUCCAGUCGUGAGGUGAAACAUCAUUUAGAACUUGUGUUUUCAGAUGUAUGGGGUCCUGCUCAGACUUCUGUCAGUGGUCAUAAUUACUAUAUCAGUUUCGUUGAUGCUUAUAGUCGCUUUACCUGGCUUUACCUUAUUAAACGCAAAUCUGAUGUGUUUGAUAUUUUUGUUCAGUUUCAAAAACAUGUUGAACGUCUUCUCAAGCACAAAAUUGUUCAUGUCCAGUCAGACUGGGGGGGGGGGCGAGUAUCGCAACCUCAACUCUUUCUUUCAGUCGCUUGGGAUAGCUCAUCGUUUAGCAUGUCCACAUACACAUCAGCAGAAUGGUUCAGUCGAACGUAA